CCUACGGGAGGCAGCAGUGGGGAAUAUUGGGCAAUGGGCGCAAGCCUGACCCAGCAACGCCGCGUGAAGGAAGAAGGCUCUCGGGUUGUUAACUUCCUUUGACAGGGAAGAAAAUGACGGUACCUGACCAAGAAGCCCCGGCUACCUACGUGCCAGCAGCCGCGGUAAUACGUAGGGGGCAAGCGUUAUCCGGAUUUACUGGGUGUAAAGGGAGCGUAGACGGCAGGGCAAGUCUGGAGUGAAAGGCGGGGGCUCAACCCCCGGACUGCCCUGGAAACUGCCAGGCUGGAGUGCAGGAGAGGUAAGUGGAAUUCCUGGUGUAGCGGUGAAAUGCGUAGAUAUUAGGAGGAACACCAGUGGCGAAGGCGAGUUACUGGACUGUAACUGACGUUGAGGCUCGAAAGCGUGGGGAGCAAACAGGAUUAGAUACCCUUGUAGUC
rnacentral:rRNA from 1 species